AGAGCGAUGCAGGACGGUGGACAUGGGAGUCGGAGUCCGCUAAGGAGUGUGUAACAACUCACUUGCCGAACCAACUUACCCCGAAAAUGGAUGGCACUCUA
rnacentral:rRNA from 1 species